AUCCUGCAAUGUUAGCCAGUAAUAGUGGAGAUCUAUUAGUAAAAUUAGUCUGCUAGUAGUACUAAUAACAGUAUACUUUUAUACUGCACAGUAUAGAUGUUAGAAGUGGUAGAACUAACAACGUACAAUAUAUACAUAUUACUCAGUACAAACACGGACCUUUUCCGGGAUAUUACGGUUGUAGUAUUUCAGUUACGUUGUUACCACUAAUAAGGUUAACAACGUAAUUGUUAUAUUACCCAAAACAACGACGGAAACAACUUCCGCGGUUUUAUUGGAAAAUGGUUGUUGUGACGGAACAGUUAGAAACCUGCACGAUGCAAAAUGUAUUGACAUAAGCAUAUAUUGGUUGUACAUAACAGUUGGAUACCUGCAUGAUGGAUUGGAUGCGAAAUUUAUUAAAAUAAACAAUUUGCCAAAUAUGAAAUAAUGCAAAGCAAUUUAUUAAUAACAAUUAUUGACAAUAAUCUGUACGUUGCAUGUGCAUAAUCUGUAUAUCAAUUAGAGAGCAUUUGCAUGUGCCAUGAUAUUUUGUAAUAUUUUGAGAUCUCAUAAAGAAUAAAUAUAAAACACAA